GUUUGCAAAACAUGACUCUCAAGAACCAUCCAGCCUCCCUGGAAAGAAGGUGACUAGAUACUGCAGAAACAACCAUGGUGCAGAGGAUUAUACUGAGCUUUUUCAGGCUGGAGGAUUGGAGUGUCAAGGGGGCAUAAGGAUUCCAGAAUGUGCCACAGGCCUGGGGAAAGAGCUGCAUUUCUUAGUUUUCCUCUGAGAUGUCACUGAGUUAGAAAGAACUGGAAGGAGGUCAGCAUCUACUCCUUUUUUGUUCCAGCAAAGGGCAUCCACCAAGGAGGAGGAUGGCUCCAUCUCCCCAUACCCAUUUCUUCUAGUUUGCAGUUAACUUCUCAGUGUUGCUUGUUUUGCCCCCUUUUAUCAUCCGGUGAAGACCUUCUAGGUGUUUCUAUCACUAGUGGCAUUGUAGGAUCACAGGAUGCUUUGGAAGUUCAGUGACAGAAGCAGUUGAGAAGGAAAUGAAAGGAGUGAAAAUGAAGGGAUAAAAGAAAGGAAAAAGGGAAAAGUGAGAAAUAUAUUUGGUAGAGAGUGUGGCAGCACGGGUAUGGUGGGAGAGACACUGGAUAAGUUUUGAGAGAUAAUUUGAUAAAAUUCAGUAUCCAUUUCUUUCUCUUUUUUAAAAAAAUAUGUUAUUUAUUUAUUUAUUUGAGAGAGAAAUAGAGAGAGAGCAUGAGCUCGAGUGUGAGCAGGGGGAGGGGCAGAGGGAGAGGAGAAAGAAUCUUAUGUAGAUUCCAUGCUCAGCACAGAGCCUGAUGAUCAGGACCUGAGCCGAAACCAAGAGUCUGACGCCCAGUCGACUGAGCCACCCAGGUGCCCCUCAGUGUCCAUUUCUAAUAAUUCACUGUAUCAGUUUCUUAUAGCUGCUGUAACAAAUUAGUGCAAACGUGGUUGCCUAAAACAAUAGAAAUCUAUUCUGUCACACUUCUGAAGGCCAAAAGUCUGAAAUCAAGAUGUGGGCAGGGCAGGCUCCCUCCAGAGACUCUGGGAGAGAAUCCUUUCCUUGCCUCAUGUAGCUUCUGGGAGCUUCCACAUUCCUCGGCACCCCUCAGCCUGUGCCUCCCGUACUCCAGGCUCUGCCUCCAUCUUCUCUAGGUUCUUUCAAGAACACAGAGUCAGCAUCAAAUUGUUAAUAUGACAAAACAGAGUUCAGCUCAACCCGGUCUAAAAAAAAAAAAAAAAAGAGCUCCAAUCCCAUGAGGCUGUAAGAGUCUUCGGAGUGCUUUCAUUCUUCGAAAAUAGGACCAUUUCUGGGUGAGUUGAUGGUGCUGCCCUGAACAGGCUGGCUGAUUCCCCUUUGACACGUCCAGCAAUUCUUUGUGUCUUUCACUGAUUCUUCAUUCACGUCUCAUUCUGUCAAAAUGUUCUUGCUUUGACUGCCUUCCAUUCUUUUGCUCUUGUUGUUUUCCUGCCUCUCAUUCAACUCUCUACUUCUGUUUGUCACCAGAUCUGCAUAUUCCUGCCCCCAGCCCCCCGCCCGCCAAGCUCCAUUCAUCUGCCUGAAAUCUGUUCCCCCCCACAACACGUCUGCUUUGGAACUCCUGUUCUGCCUUCUCCCCACCGCCCACCCCACUGGGCCUGACUUUCCUCUUUCACUUAAUUUCAUGUAGAUGUGGAAAAGCUAAAUUACUACUACUAUUACUGCGACCACCACUAUUAUGAUUAUGACUAUUACUGCUUAUCUUCUGAUCUUCUGCACCUCUAAUCCAGUAAAUUACCAGAGCCUAGGGGUUUUGCCUCCAUAAAGUUUAAGCAGCGUAUUUAUCAGUCAGAUGGCUGUGGUCACUGCCUCUUACUUCUUGGGUGUAGCGCUUGUCCCGUGCAUGGAUGGGACAUGGGGGAUGGCCUUGAAGAGCAAGCCAUGGGUGAGCAGAUGGGUUGGGUCAAUUGGUUUAGGAAGGGAGCCAUUAAAGGUAUGUUCAGACUACUGUAACCAUACAGAUGAGGAACAUUUAUUCUGCGUGUUUUUAUGGAAGGCUCCCUGAAGGAGAACAUGCUUGAGCUGUGUUAAAGUUGACCAGUAGAGACAGCUGAUGGCAGCAUUCUAGGGGAAUCACGAGCAAAGACCUGGAAGCUUAAAAUGCCAAGGUGUGUAAUAUGGGUGUGUGUGUGUGUGUUUACCACACUUUCAGAAUAUUCUGAAGAUAUUAGAUUCAUCUUGUUACAUGAUUUUUUUGAAAUGUGGACGACAUGACCUCCUCAACUGAACAACAGAGAACUCCUUUUCUUAAAUCUGAAAUUAUAUAAAAAACUAAUGAUGUAUGGUGACUAAUAUAACAUAAUAAAAUAAAAUUAAAAAAAUAGAUUAUUAUGAAAUUAUUUAAAAAUUUAAAGCUUUGGUCUUUUUUUUUUUAAAGAUUUAUUUAUUUAUUUGAGAGAGCGAGAA